AUACGGAGGGUGCAAGCGUUACUCGGAAUCACUGGGCGUAAAGCGCGCGCAGGCGGCUUGAUAAGUUGGAUGUGAAAGCCUACGGCUCAACCGUAGAACUGCAUCCAAAACUGUCAGGCUAGAGUGUGGGAGAGGAAGAUGGAAUUAGUUGUGUAGGGGUAAAAUCCGUAGAGAUAACUAGGAAUACCAAAAGCGAAGGCAAUCUUCUGGAACACUACUGACGCUGAGGCGCGAAAGCGUGGGGAGCAAACAGGAUUAGAAACCCCUGUAGUCC
rnacentral:rRNA from 1 species